AGCUCCAAUAGCGUAUAUUAUUGUUGUUGCAGUUAAAACGUUCGUAGUCGAAAUUGAUCUGUUCAGGCGUCGAAACACCUUUGGUGUUUUUAAUGCUCUGAGCAGAAAUUACUCAAGGAGUGUCACUUGUUUCAAGGGAUUAUUUCUUGCGUUUUACUGUGAGUGAAUCAGCGUGCUUAAUGCAGGCAGCAGUCGUGAAUGAUUAACCAUGGAAUAAAUAGAUUUUGAAAGUACAUUUUUCUUAGUUCGAAUGUAUUUUCGACAAGUAAAGGAACGGUUGGGGCAUUCGUAUUCAACUGCCAGAGGUGAAAUUCUUUGACUAGUUGAGGACGAACAACUGCGAAAGCAUCUGCCAAGAACGUUUCCGUUGAUCAAGAACGAAGUUAACA
rnacentral:rRNA from 1 species